rnacentral:lncRNA from 1 species
ACAGUUAAUGUUAUAAAAUAUAUAUACAGGGUGCCCACGUUUCUGUGGACCAGGCAUUUUUCUCGAAAACUAUCGGGUAUACGUGAAAACUGUAAAACACCAUUACAAUACGUCAUUAAUAUUUUUUUCUGUGCGCAGCGCAUGCUUCAACUUGGUUUUUUCGAAUGGAAGUGUAUUCAUUUUUCUCGAAAACUAUCGGGUAUACGUGAAAACUGUAAAGCACGUGUCCUGUUACAUUUUCCUUCCACAUUGCAAUACGUCAUUGAUAUUUUUUUCUGCGCAUCCUCUUGCGCAGCGCGUGCUUCAACUUGGUUUUUUCGAAUGCAAGUGUAUUAUUUUUCUAGCAGAAUCUGAUUCCGCCAAUUUUUUGUGAAAUUUUCG